rnacentral:rRNA from 1 species
GCGUAGCCGACCUGAGAGGGUGAUCGGCCACACUGGGACUGAGACACGGCCCAGACUCCUACGGGAGGCAGCAGUAGGGAAUCUUCCGCAAUGGACGAAAGUCUGACGGAGCAACGCCGCGUGAGUGAUGAAGGUUUUCGGAUCGUAAAGCUCUGUUGUUAGGGAAGAACAAGUGCGAGAGUAACUGCUCGCACCUUGACGGUACCUAACCAGAAAGCCACGGCUAACUACGUGCCAGCAGCCGCGGUAAUACGUAGGUGGCAAGCGUUGUCCGGAAUUAUUGGGCGUAAAGGGCUCGCAGGCGGUUUCUUAAGUCUGAUGUGAAAGCCCCCGGCUCAACCGGGGAGGGUCAUUGGAAACUGGGAAACUUGAGUGCAAAAGAGGAGAGUGGAAUUCCACGUGUAGCGGUGAAAUGCGUAGAGAUGUGGAGGAACACCAGUGGCGAAGGCGACUCUCUGGUCUGUAACUGACGCUGAGGACGAAAGCGUGGGAGCGAACAGGAUUAGAUACCCUGGUAGUCCACGCCGUAAACGAUGAGUGCUAAGUGUUAGGGGGUUUCCGCCCCUUAGUGCUGCAGCUAACGCAUUAAGCACUCCGCCUGGGGAGUACGGUCGCAAGACUGAAACUCAAAGGAAUUGACGGGGGCCCGCACAAGCGGUGGAGCA